UACGUAGGGGGCAAGCGUUGUCCGGAUUUAUUGGGCGUAAAGAGCGUGUAGGCGGCCAAGUAAGUCUGCUGUGAAAACUCGAGGCUUAACCUCGAGCUGUCGGCGGAAACUAUUUGGCUAGAGUCCGGAAGAGGAGAAUGGAAUUCCCGGUGUAGCGGUGAAAUGCGCAGAUAUCGGGAAGAACACCGGUGGCGCAAGCGGAUUGCUGGGCCAUAACUGACACUGAGGAACGAAAGCUAGGGUAGCGAAUGGG
rnacentral:rRNA from 1 species